UGUAUUCGCAUCGAUUAGAGAUACUCUUAGAUAAGUUAUCUAAGCGUCCAGUCAUUUCGUCGUAGCUUUGGAACGAUAUCACUUUAAUCAAAAUGAAGCCAAUGAUGUUUACUCUGUGUAUAUUGCUGUGUGCAAUGCUGAUUACUGUCGAAGGCCGCCGACACAAGCGGUCAAGCAGCGCAUCAAGUAGUAGCGAAAGCGAAUCAACUGAAACAGGUACGGAUACA